UACGUAGGGUGCGAGCGUUGUCCGGAAUUAUUGGGCGUAAAGAGCUCGUAGGCGGUCUGUCGCGUCGGAUGUGAAAGCCCGGGGCUUAACUCCGGGUCUGCAUUCGAUACGGGCAGACUAGAGUGUGGUAGGGGAGAUCGGAAUUCCUGGUGUAGCGGUGAAAUGCGCAGAUAUCAGGAGGAACACCGGGGGCGAAGGCGGAACCCUGGGGCAUUACUGACGCUGAGGAGCGAAAGCGUGGGGAGCGAACAGG
rnacentral:rRNA from 1 species